CCGACCUUAGCUCAGUUGGUAGAGCGGAAGACUGUAGUGGGUGUAAGCCUGUCAGAAAAUCUUUAGGUCGCUGGUUCGAAUCCGGCAGGUCGGA
rnacentral:tRNA from 1 species